rnacentral:misc_RNA from 1 species
GAUGAAGAACGCAGCGAAAUGCGAUAAGUAAUGUGAAUUGCAGAAUCCAGUGAAUCAUCGAAUCUUUGAACGCACAUUGCGCCCGCCAGCAUUCUGGCGGGCAUGCCUGUUCGAGCGUCAUUUCAACCCUCGACCUCCCCUUGGGGAGGUCGGCGUUGGGGACCGGCAGCACACCGCCGGCCCUGAAAUGGAGUGGCGGCCCGUCCGCGGCGACCUCUGCGCAGUAAUACAGCUCGCACCGGGACCCCGACGCGGCCACGCCGUAAAACACCCAACUUCUGAACGUUGACCUCGAAUCAGGUAGGACUACCCGCUGAACUUAAGCAUAUCAAUAAGCGGAGGA